GGUCGGAUGGCGCAACGGUAGCGCGUAACUUUCCGGCUCACACAGCCUAAAAUAGGUUGUGGUCUCUGGCUGGUUAAGGUUCUGGGUUCGAGUCCCAGUUCGAUCG